UCACUCUAACGUGUUUCAAAUGUUUUCCCCUGGGCUCUUCAUUUUGAAAAUGCCCAGUUUGCAGGAUUGCAUAGUUGAGGUCGGGCGUACAUGGGGAUGAGGCAUAGUCAUCAUAUAGCUUCCGCUUGUUAAUUUAUUAUGUUUCCUUUCUUCUUGUUAGAGUUGCUCUGAACCUAUAAAUGGUUGGAUAUGAGAUUUGUUUAGAUUAGUAAAUAAUUUAGGUGGUGUUGUGAUUUGGGGAGCACGGAGGCUGCAGGAGUUUAAAGUUGGAUUUAAAUUUUUAGAAGUGUUUACAGGUAUUAUUAGGAAGGGUUGUCUAUUUUCAAGGGAGGUUAUGCCGAUUUUUCGAUAAAGUUUUCUUCGAGGUGGUCCCCGCACGACUUACUCUGGGUUUCAGGGUGAAAUUUGGGGUGGGUCGUGUCAGUUGGUAUCAGAGCACUAGGUUAUUCGUUUCCUUUCUCUUUUUAGUACUACCUCAUAUUCUUGGUCAUGCUCAAUGUCUAUAGAGUGAUGGUCCGACCGCGGCGGAUCUAUUAGCAUUAUAUGCUUUAGACACUAUGUGUUGAUUAGGUUUGUGAUGUAGUUGUUCCUAUUUUUAUUAAUGGACAGUAUUGUCCAUAAAUGUCUAUAUCUUCAAGACUAUGCCUCUGUACACCGACCUCUUAAGUGAUCAUCCUGCUUUGAUUAGGGAAGGAGGUGUUUGGUUUAUGCCUUUUCCAAGGGUAUCAAGUUGAUAUCUUAAAUUGUGAGUUUAAUUGCGAGAUGGGAACUCAUAUGCAUGGUAGCAUUCUUUUCAUGUGAUCAAUGAUUGUUUGGGUUAUGAUUAAGAUGCUUGGGUGAGCAUCUCGUGCCAAUGUGUAGAAGGUGAAAAGUUUAAUUCAAGCUUUGGAGGUCACUAUUUAUAGUGGGCAAGUGUGAAGUUGUUGUUGUCCGAUAGAAAAUCUUGGCUUCGAGUUGUUUGACUUCUAGGAGAAAAUAGUUGGAAAGAAAGUUCGAGGUAGUGGUGUUUUCUUUUGAGGUUAAAGUUAGUUGAAGUGUUAUGGUGGGUACCUAUAGUAACUCUUGGAGGUAACUUUUGGAGGUACCUUUAUGAGUUGUUGCGGACCCUAAGCUUGAGCGAUUUAGUCACGUGGGAUUUAUGGCUAGUGAUUGGUGGUAAGGCAUUGCGACAUAAAGAGCUAAAUAUCAAUUUAGAUAAGUCAUGAUAGAAAGCCAAUUUGCCGACUAUGUUUAUCUGCAACAGAAAGCAGUUGGGAACAAUUUGGGAUAAUGCUGGUUAUGUCAGCACAUAUCCUGGUUCCUACAACUUUAAUUAUGGAAGUAUAUUUUUGAAAAUGACGGAUAAUAGUAGUCGAUGAAUAACAAGAUUUCUGAUGAUUGGAGUCUCUAAUGUGGGUUAGCUGAAGUCGGUUAAAGUACUAAGUAGAAUGACUUGGAUUGUUGGUUUUACAAAAGUCAUUGGUCAGUGCGUUGUGACAACUUCUUGUUGUGCCAAAAUCGAGAAAUUUUAGAAAUUGAAUGGUGGCACUAAAUGGUUUGAGCUUCAAGCAAGUUUGGAAUCGUGGAGUGAGAUGUCAGUUAUAUUAUUUUAAUCGUGGGGCCAUUUUGGCUUCUUUCGGAAUUCCAGGUGUCGAAGUUUGGUUUCCAGUUUUGUUGAGUGUUUUGGAAGAUGAUAAUGUAAUGGAAUCGAAAAGUAAUGGUGGAGUGAGAGCGGGAUGGUUGUGGUCACUCCAGUUUUACGACAACACAUGGUGAAAUUUUAAAUAGGUGUUGUCAUGAGUUUUUGUUUAUAAAUUCUAAGGUAGUUGCAUGAAAUUGGUGGAAGUGGCAGUGGUAGAAUAGAACCCACUGGAUCAUAAAGCAAGAGUGCGUGGGUGUCCAAAGUAAUUUUUAAGCAAUGUCAUUUCGGGUGGUUGAUGUAAGUCUCAAAUUUGUGAUCGAAGAUGGUUUUGACAUCAUUUCGUUCACAAUGGGUGACUAUAGACGACAUAUCAAUGGGAGAAUCUGUUCUCACCUUAUUUCUAAUUUGGUGAGAUGGAGUAAAGUUUUGGUUGUGGUGUGUGUGGGAAUAUUUAAAUUAUUCCUACUGUAGUUUUUAGGUAGUAUCCUCAGAGCUUGAAAUUUUUGAAUGCGGAUUCAACGCUUCAAUUUGAAGGGUAGAGAUUCUGGUUAUUUUGUCGAAGUUUUGAGGUAAAUGAUAUUUGGUAGUUGUGUCGUAGUCAUGGAUCCGGAAUAAAUCCAGUGGUGAUCCCAAGUGAGCUGGAGUUCAUUUAAGCGAUGAGUCUUUAUGCCGUAAAUCCUAUGUGGUAGUUUGAGAGUUGCAUGGUGAUGUUGAUUUAGAUGGUUUGUGUCAGUAUAGGUAUAUUUCAUGAUGUAGCAUUAUGAGAGAAGGUUUUCCCCUGUUGACUCAAGAAGUUUUUCGAGUCAAGGUUUAUUAAGAGAUUUCUAUGGCGAAUAGUAGAUUUAUUGAUAGGUUGAUCAACGCCUCUUCUCAAGAUCGUUUUGUGGUGGGACCACUCAUUGAUCCAAGUUUUUGUUUGGGAGGUCUUUGCUUUUUGGUUGUGCGUUUAUCUGUUGGUGUCAGGAUGAUUAGUGGAGGUUUCUAGUGCGAUUUCGAAGCGGGUUCUGGCGGAUAUCGGAGAUCUGUGGAGCUUUUGAGCUCGAAGUUAGAGGACUUGCUUUUCGUGUGCUUUAAAUUAUUUCUUUUGGAGCUUGAGCUGAGUUAAGCCAUGAGUUUUGAUUCUUGCUUGAAUUCAUGGUUUUCGUUAGUUGGUGAACCACAAGGUGUAGUAGUGGGUCUUGUAUAAAAAUUUGUCUUUGCUUUUGUUAGUCGCAUGUUAUUGCAAGCUGAGUUUUCGAAGAAUCUUUUUGGUGGGAAGUCGUGGCCCUGGGAUGUGUAGGUGACUUGAGCAUAUCUGAUUUUCAGAUUGUUUUCUGCUAUCAGAUUUAUUGUUGUUAGAGGUAAAAAAGGAAAUGUAUUUGUCGGAUCCAAAGGUUUUGGCAUUUAGAAUCAUUCUGGUGGAACGGCUAGAGUGAGCCGUGUGCUUUUAAUUAUUGCUCUUGGGGUCGCAGUUGCACCCGAAUAAGUAGCAUGGCUGGAGAUGUAAAUUUUGUCAAUGUUUAAAGGAGGUGUUCUAUUUAUGUGGAUUUCAACGUCAAGUUUAUCAUCAUGAAUUGACUGUGCCAAUUUUUCGUGGGCAUUAUUAGUCAGUUUUGUUUAUGGCGAGCAUGGGGGAAUUCCUAGUUUCCACAUGAUAGUCAUGUGUCCGAUUAUCUUCUGGUUUGUGGUAAAGAGAAUAGUGGAGAUAGCGUUAUCAGGAGAGAGUUGGAAAUUCCCAUAAGUUGCUAGUUUGUGGUGCAUAAAAUGGUAAUGUAAUAGUUUUGGUGGAGAGAUCUAAGUGUCGUGGUAUUGAUCUUUUCAUAAUGUCAUUUCGAAAAUCGAAGUUAUCAUUUGUUGGUGGACUGGUCAUUUAGGCAGAGCAAGGUUAUCUUGUGGACUUGCGAGAGCUUUGGCUCCGCGAAAGACUCUGCGAGGUGUCUCGGUAGUAGGAGUGAUUGUUGCAGUUCUGCAGUGUGUGCAUCCUUAAAAAUCUGUUCAAUUAACGGGUCUUAAUUUAGACCCCUAUGAGCAUGUGGGAAUGUGUGAAUUUUAGUUUCCUAGCAAGUAGGCUUCAUUGUCGAGCUGUGAGCAGCGUAAUGACGAGGUUGUUGCGUGAUGUUAGGAGAUUUGAGGCCGAUGGUGAUAGCAAAUUUAUGCGCUUUAUUUGGGUUAACUAUUUCCAUUGCUCAGGAAAGAGUAUGCAUACCUACGGGUACUCGUACUCUGGAACAGGUAUCACUGAACUCACUUACGUGUAAACGUUAGUGGCAGUUCAAUUAAGGAUUUAGAGUCUUUGAGAAGAUUUAAAUUAAUUCAGGAUUUAAAUGAAAAGGUUAAAGGAGUUUGAGGUAGACUUAAGGUAGCUCUUAGUAGCCAGAAGAUUUAUAAAGAUGUUCGCAGGAAGGACCAUGAGUUUCAAGUGAGUAUUUUGGGUGUUUUCGAAAUUGUCUCCUUGGAAAGGGGUGGUACGUUUUAGUAACGUGCAAAGCUUGGUCCAAGAUUUAUUAGUCCUUAUGGGUUUUUAGAUCAAGUUGGCUCUCUUGCGUUUCAGUUAGUUUUGCCUCCAGAAUUAUCCAGGAUACAUAAUGUGUUUCAUGUAUUCAUGUUUCGCAAGUAUAUUACCGAUUCCUCUCAUGGGUUGCAAGAGCAGCCGAUUAUUUUGUAGAAAGAUUUGACCUUUGAUGAGGAUCCGGUUCAGUUUUUAGACCAGAGGGAGCAACUGCUUAGAAGCAAAUCUUUUCCUCUUGUUAAAUUCUGUGGAGGAGUCACCAAGUAGAAGAAGCUACUUGGGAAUCAGAGGAGCAAAUGAGACAGCAGUAUCCCUAUCUCUUUGAUUUGUCAGGUAUGUAAAUUUCGAAGACGAAAUUUUUAUAAGGAGAGGAGAAUUGUCACAUCCCGACCCUUAAAUUUUUACCUUAUUUACUAGCUUGGUUAUAAUAAGAAUUUUACCGUCUCCGUCAUUGAAGUUAUAGUUUAAUUGGUCCCUAGAGGGGUUUCGGGGACGGUUAUGCUCGGAGGAUUAUUCGUAGGAGAAAAAUAUGAGGACGGUAAAAAUGGUAAAUUUUAGCUAGUAAAAGGUAAUUUUUUUCGGGUAUUAUUUUUCGGGGUGUUUUAUUUUUGAAAUUGGGUAUAAUUGUGGGUUGGACCGGUUUUGGGGAGGCCCAAACCAUUUUUCCUUUUUUCUCUUUUCUCUUCUCUCUUCUUCUUCUCCUCCUCCCGACCCUCUCUUCACCUCCCGUUUCUGGUUCUUCUUCAGCUCCGGCCGCCGUCGUCUGACCGACUUCGUCCGCCACACCGGUCCCCAUCGAACCACCACCUUCUCCUCUUCAUUUCUGGGCAGGUCAUCGAGCUGCCAUCGCCGCCGUGAGGAGGUAAUCUCCAUUAGAAGUCCGGCUGCCCUUCUGCCGGAGCUCCGAUUUCCAGCCACCAUAGCUCGUGAUUCUUAGCUCAUUUUGUAGCUCUCAUGAAGGUUAGUGAUUCCUCGAAAGGAAUCGAUGUAAUUCGGUCUUGAUAAGGAGAUAUGUUUAAUUGAAGUUCUAGGGAGUUUUGAAUGUUUUUAGUCGAUUACCCUAGUUAGGCUUGGAAUUGGUGUGUGUGCUAGUUAGAAAAGUUGUAGAGCAUGAUGAGAGGAUUAUUCUAUCAAAAUUUCAUAGGAAUCGGAGGUCGCCGGAAUUGGCCUCCGGCCGCCGCUGCCGGCGGAGCCGCCGCCAGCGCCGCCACUGUUUGGAAGAUUUUUAGGGUUUUAAAUUUAGAAUAUUAAGGGGAGUUUGUUGAAGUGAGUUAUGGAAUUUUUGGAUGAGUUUUGGAUAGGUUUAUGAAUUUCCGAAGUGUGGUAUUUUUUUGUGGUUAAUUAAUGUAGAAUCCGCCGCUUGUUAAUUUAUUAUGUUUCCUUUCUUCCUGUUAGAGUUGCUCUGAACCUAUAAAUGGUUGGAUAUGAGAUUUGUUUAGAUUAGUAAAUAAUUUGGGUGGUGUUGUGAUUUGGGGAGCACGGAGCCUCCAGGAGUUUAAGGUUGGAUUUAAAUUUUCAGAAGUGUUUGCAGGUAUUAUUAGGAAGGGUUGUCCAUUUUCAAGGGAGGUUAUGCCGAUUUUUCGGUAAAUUUUUCUUCGAGGUGGUCCCCGCACGACUUACUCUGGGUUUCAGGGUGAAAUUUGGGGUGGGUCGUGUCAGUAUAAAUAUAUGCCCAUACCCCCUAUAUGAAUUAGAUACUCAUAUAGGGCUACUACGCUCGCGUCCAACGCUCACGUCACACCAUAAUGCGGCUAUAUGUUACGCCAGUAAAGUGGACAGACACAUAUGGCUAGCUAGCAUUUAUAUACAUACUCUCCUCAUAAAUAUCCAUAUACUUAUUCACCGAAAAUUUCAUUUUCGGUAACUCUCCAAAAUAAUAAAAAUUGUCAAUUAUCAUAAAAACAAUAUGCACACGACUCCACCGAAAAUCUCAUUUUCGGUAACUUUCCAAAUAACAUGAUAGGUAUUAAAAAUAAGAACAUUUACUUCGGAAGAUGACUUCGUGAAAAUAAACAAUUCCACAAAUUGAUAUUCAAUAACAUCAAUCAUUUAAUAUGAAAUCACCACAUGCUUAUAAUUUAAAACGAACGUCCACUCACAACUUUAGGCUUAAGCCUGACGUCAAUCCGAAGUCUCUCCAAUUCGAGCCUCCUCACGUCCUGAUCCAAACAUAAAAUUAAUUUCCCAACUAAAAAUCCAAAUAUUUAUACAACAUAGACAAAAAUUAAACGUGAGCCAUAUCCACGCUUAUCAUUGCCUAACUUCAAUAUUCCUAAUUCAAAAUGCUCAAAAUUCACCGAAAAAUAAUGGCAGCCUUAACACAAUCUUCACAGAUUAUACGACUUUAAUCCAAUGGCCGAAUUCUACCUUAAUUAACCGUCAAAAAUACCAAAUUUCAGAAAUUCACAAACCUAACCAAAACUCAUCCGAAAAUUCCAUAAUUUACAUCAAUACACUCCUCUUAAUAUUCCACAUUUAAAAACAUUAAAAUCUCCCAACCGGCGGCGGCGCCGGCGCCAGCCCCGCCGGCAGCGGCGGCCGGAGGCCAAUUCCGGCGACCUCCAAUGCCCACCAAAUUUUAACAGCAUCUUCCUCUCAACUCCCUCUACAACAUUCCUAACUAGCACAAACACCAAUUCCAAGCCUAACUAGGUCAAUCGAGCAAAACAACACAAAAAGCCCUAGAGCUUCCACCUCAAAUUUAUCCUUACCUGAAGCGAACCGGAGUGAGUCCUUUUAGGAAAAGGUAGCUGGGUUGGAGACCUACAAAACCGUACCAAACUUGCCCAGAUUGGUGGCCGGAGGAGGGAGUUCCGGCGACACCACAGUCACCCCUUCGGGACCGGUUUCCUCCUGUUCGGCCGUGAAGUGGCAGCGCUCACCGGCCAAGGAUGAGAGAGGAGGAGACGCCGGUCCAGACGGGACCGGUGCGGCAGCCUGGUUCGACCGGAGGACGGCGGCGUGCGGAGGAUUUCCGGCGAAGGGAGAGUGAAAACCGGGAAGGAAAAAAAGAAGAGAAGGGAGAAAAUGGCUUUGGGCCUCCUCCCCCCCAAACCGGUCCAACUUAAUACCCACUUAAAAACAAACCCAACUCCAAAAAUAAAACACCCCGAAAAAUAAUACCCGAAUAAAAAAUUACCUUUUACUAGCUAAAAUUUUACCAUUUUUACCGUCGUCAUAAUUUUCUCCUACGAAUAACUCUCCGAAAUAAUCGUCCCCCAAAACCCCUCGAGGGACCAAUUAAACUACAACUUCAUUGACGGAUACGGUAAAAUUCUUAUUAUAAUCAAGCUAGUAAAUAAGGUAAAAAUUUAAGAACCGGGAUGUGACAAUUUAGGUAUUCAUAAUAUCAUUUUUUGAAAAGACCCAACUAAUGUUUAUUAUCAGGAAUUACAAGUUGGCAGGUUGGAAAAAAGGAUCCAUUUCUAAAGCAGGAAGACUCACUUUGAUCAAGGCUAAUGUUUCAGGUAUGUCAAAUCAUGUCAUGUCGUGUUUUAAAUGUCCUGCAAAAAUUACA
rnacentral:lncRNA from 1 species